rnacentral:rRNA from 1 species
GACGAACGCUGGCGGCGUGCUUAACACAUGCAAGUCGAACGGAAAGGCCCCUUUGGGGGUACUCGAGUGGCGAACGGGUGAGUAACACGUGAGUAACCUGCCCUUGACUUCAGGAUAACUUCAGGAAACUGGGGCUAAUACCGGAUAGGAAUCCUUGCUGCAUGGUGGGGGUUGGAAAGCUUCGGCGGUUUUGGAUGGACUCGCGGCUUAUCAGCUUGUUGGUGGGGUAGUGGCUUACCAAGGCUUUGACGGGUAGCCGGCCUGAGAGGGCGACCGGCCACAUUGGGACUGAGAUACGGCCCAGACUCCUACGGGAGGCAGCAGUGGGGAAUAUUGCACAAUGGGCGGAAGCCUGAUGCAGCAACGCCGCGUGCGGGAUGACGGCCUUCGGGUUGUAAACCGCUUUCAGCAGGGGCGAAGCUUGUGGUGACGGUACCUGCAGAAGAAGCACCGGCUAACUACGUG